UGAAUCUUCUCUUUAAGGACGCUGUCUCCAAAUACAGUGACUUUCUGAGGUACCAAGGGAUAAGACUUCAACCUCUGAAUGUGGGCUGGGAGCCUCCUGGGAUCAAAUCCAGUGCUCGUUCCAGGGGGUGAAGAAACCAAGGUGCCCCAAAGACAAGGAACUGACCCAGAAUCCUGCAGAUGGCAGGCAGCAGAACAAGGAUCCUGUCGGGUGUCUUUCCAGGCCACAGUCUUCAUCAUCAUUAUCAUCAUCAUUGAGUAGUAUCUCAUGAGGCCACUGCACUGUGCAAGGAAUGAGUCUGGAGAAGAGCCACAGGAAAACCCUGUCUGUGGGGGACUCUGUCUUGAUCACCAUCUAUCUAUGUAGGAGGCUACAUCAUGAGGUCCUCUAAACUUUCCACCAAUCAAAGAAGCUAUUGACAUUUGUUUGGAGUUGACGUCACAGUCUCAGAAACUUUUGAAACAUGUCCACAUGAAUUCUGAAUUAUGCAAAGAUUUGGUAAAUUUUUUAAAUAAAUGUAUUUUUUUAGGAUAUCCCAGAAAUAAAGCUACACCAAGA